rnacentral:tRNA from 1 species
AGAAGGGUAGCUCAACGGUUAGAGUAUAGGAUUCCAAAUCCUGUGGUUGCAAGUUCAAAUCUUGUUCUUUCUG